UCAUAGUUCAGUUGGUAAAGAAUCUGCCUGCAAUGCAGGAGACCCUGGUUCGAUUCCUGGACUGGGAA
rnacentral:tRNA from 1 species